rnacentral:rRNA from 1 species
UGGGGAAUAUUGGACAAUGGGCGCAAGCCUGAUCCAGCCAUACCGCGUGGGUGAAGAAGGCCUUCGGGUUGUAAAGCCCUUUUGUUGGGAAAGAAAUCCAGCCGGCUAAUACCUGGUUGGGAUGACGGUACCCAAAGAAUAAGCACCGGCUAACUUCGUGCCAGCAGCCGCGGUAAUACGAAGGGUGCAAGCGUUACUCGGAAUUACUGGGCGUAAAGCGUGCGUAGGUGGUCGUUUAAGUCCGUUGUGAAAGCCCUGGGCUCAACCUGGGAACUGCAGUGGAUACUGGGCGACUAGAGUGUGGUAGAGGGUAGCGGAAUUCCUGGUGUAGCAGUGAAAUGCGUAGAGAUCAGGAGGAACAUCCAUGGCGAAGGCAGCUACCUGGACCAACACUGACACUGAGGCACGAAAGCGUGGGGAGCAAAACAGGAUUAGAUACCCUGGUAGUCCACGCCCUAAAACGAUGCGAACUGGAUGUUGGGUGCAAUUUGGCACGCAGUAUCGAAGCUAACGCGUUAAGUUCGCCGCCUGGGAGUACGGUCGCAAGACUG